GCAUCGUUCGUCUAGCCCGGUUUAAGACACUGGCUUGCCAUGCCGGAAACAUCGGUUCAAAUCCGAUACGAUGCUCCA
rnacentral:tRNA from 1 species